rnacentral:rRNA from 1 species
UACAGAGGUCUCAAGCGUUGUUCGGAUUCAUUGGGCGUAAAGGGUGCGUAGGCGGCGCGGUAAGUCGGGUGUGAAAUCUCGGGGCUUAACUCCGAGACUGCAUUCGAUACUGCCGUGCUUGAGGACUGGAGAGGAGACUGGAAUUUACGGUGUAGCGGUGAAAUGCGUAGAUAUCGUAAGGAAGACCAGUGGCGAAGGCAGCUCGCUGGGACGUGACUGACGCUGAGACGCGAAAGCGUGGGGAGCAAACAGG